rnacentral:rRNA from 1 species
AACGAACGCUGGCGGCAUGCCUAACACAUGCAAGUCGAACGCUCCGCAAGGGGAGUGGCGCACGGGUGAGUAACGCGUGGGAACCUGCCGAGGGGUGUGGGAUAACCGGUGGAAACGCCGGCUAAUACCGCAUACGUCCUGUGGGAGAAAGAUUCAUCGCCCUUCGAGGGGCCCGCGUCGGAUUAGCUAGUCGGCGGGGUAACGGCCCACCAAGGCGACGAUCCGUAGCUGGUCUGAGAGGAUGAUCAGCCACACUGGGACUGAGACACGGCCCAGACUCCUACGGGAGGCAGCAGUGGGGAGUAUUGGACAAUGGGGGCAACCCUGAUCCAGCAAUGCCGCGUGAGUGAUGAAGGCCUUAGGGUUGUAAAGCUCUUUCGGCGGGGACGAUGAUGACGGUACCCGCAGAAGAAGCCCCGGCUAACUUCGUGCCAGCAGCCGCGGUAAUACGAAGGGGGCAAGCGUUGUUCGGAUUUACUGGGCGUAAAGGGCGCGCAGGCGGUUCUCCAAGUC